GAAGAAGAAAAAAAGUCAUCUAGAACCAGACUACAUUGGUCUUGGGUUUUGGGAUCAGAUGACAUCAUCCAGAUGGCCAGUAAUGAACAAGCAUUCAAACGCACCAUUUCAUCUGCUCUAUAUGCCUGCAGGUGUCCAUCCUGGAAGGCAUCAGGACCUCUUUAGAGCAGCCGCAUUGCAGUUGGUGCAUCACACUCCAAGUGCUUCUGCAGAGUCUGGAAGUGAUGCUGUUCUCCGUUGGGUCGCUCUUCGUAUAUAUACCCAUCCACAUUACCUGCAAACCCUGA